rnacentral:tRNA from 1 species
AGGAACUUAGGAUAAUAUUUAAACCGAAGGCCUUCAAAGCCUCCAAAAAGAGUAUCAACCUCUUAGUUUCUG